rnacentral:rRNA from 1 species
UACGUAGGGUGCAAGCGUUAAUCGGAAUUACUGGGCGUAAAGCGUGCGCAGGCGGCUUUGCAAGACAGAUGUGAAAUGCCCGGGCUUAACCUGGGAACUGCAUUUGUGACUGCAAGGCUAGAGUUUGGCAGAGGGGGGUAGAAUUCCACGUGUAGCAGUGAAAUGCGUAGAUAUGUGGAGGAAUACCGAUGGCGAAGGCAGCCCCCUGGGUCAAGACUGACGCUCAUGCACGAAAGCGUGGGGAGCAAACAGG